CUGGGUCCGCGUUGUAAUUUGUAGAGGAUGCUUUGGGGCAGCCGCCUGUCUAAGUUCCUUGGAACAGGACGUCAUAGAGGGUGAGAAUCCCGUAUGUGACAGGACAUGGCACCCUAUGUAAAGCUCCUUCGACGAGUCGAGUUGUUUGGGAAUGCAGCUCUAAAUGGGAGGUAAAUUUCUUCUAAAGCUAAAUACUGGCGAGAGACCGAUAGCGCACAAGUAGAGUGAUCGAAAGAUGAAAAGCACUUUGGAAAGAGAGUUAAAAAGCACGUGAAAUUGUUGAAAGGGAAGCGCUUGCAAUCAGACUUGUCUUGGGGUGUUCGGCCGGUCUUCUGACCGGUUUACUCGCCUCGGGACAGGCCAGCAUCAGUUUCGGCGGCCGGAUAAAGGCAUCGGGAAUGUGGCCAACACUUCGGUGUUGGUGUUAUAGCCCGGUGUGUAAUACGGCCAGCCGGGACUGAGGUCCGCGCUUCGGCUAGGAUGCUGGCGUUAAUGGUUGUAAGCGACCCGUCUUGAAACACGGACCAAGGAGUCUAACAUCUAUGCGAGUGUUCGGGUGUCAAACCCCUGCGCGUAAUUUAAAGUGAACGGAGGUGGGAAACCGCAAAGGUGCACCAUCGACCGAUCCUGAAUG
rnacentral:rRNA from 1 species